UAGCAAAUCACAUCAUUGACUAAAAUUCUUAUCACCACCACCAGGAGCAAAGGAGGGAAUAAGACUACAGUUUGUUGAUGAAGUCAGAAGUACGAACUCAUAUUCAGGUCCCUUGUAGCACCAGGAUGGGAAGCUAUGAGUAGCAGACACAUUGGUUUCUAGAAGAAAGCGCAGGAAACCACCGAAAAGGGGAAUAGAGGAAUGCAAAAGAAAAAAAGUUGCCUAAGAUAAAAUUGCACUGAGUCAAUUCGUAACAACAUCAAUAGGAGGGUGAAUCAGGACCAGUGCAAUAAAUCACCCUCAAUACUUCCUGUGAAUGGCAACUGCUGAAGGGAAGCUUCUGCCUCUCAUCAUACACUGCCUCAGGGGGGAACAAAAUAGAUCAUUACAAUGGAGGCCAAAGAGUGCUUGAAUGUCUCUGCCGAAGGCUUUCAAUAAAUAUUUGUUGAAAAAGAAAGGAAGAAAGAAAAUGAAGAAGGAACGAAGGAGGAAAGGAAAGAAGGAAAGAAGGAAGGAAGGAGUUAAUGAAGACUCAAGGAUGUUCUGCUCUGAUUGGCAGGGAGAGUUUGAAGGUGGGUUGGCAGAGACUGUGACCGCAACUGACUGCGUUCUGCAGAAUUAUGGUAAUGAAAUUGGAAGCCAACUUUCGUGAAGCAGAAAGCCUCAAGUUUCCAGGUGCUGUGCUCAGUCCAGGAAUACAAUGAUGAAUACGAUCAAGGCCCUUUCAGAGCUGACACACACUAUACAUAAUGCAUCAAAAAUUGCGUUCUCGCUAUAUUUCUGUUUAUUUGGUUUUAUCUGCAAGAAUAUAGAUAGCAUCUGCUUUGAUAUAAAACUUUUAUGUGUCUUAUGUAGUUGAUUUGUAAAUGUCCUAUCUAUAAAUAUAAAACAAUAAAUUACUAGUUACAGUUAACUUAGGAAAACUUUUAAUCAUGUCCUACAUUUUACACCUUGUAAUUUCUACCAAAUGUUUGUAUUUUUAUGUCUUAUUAAAUAUAAUAAAUAUUUGUCUUAACAUAUUUUAAUAGAAUUCCUCAUAUGUUUUGCAGAAAGCUAAUUAUGGUUUUC
rnacentral:lncRNA from 1 species